UGUUUAUUUGCCAUGCAACCUGUUGAUAAGGUCAAAUGUGCUGGAUGAAGGGACCACCCAAAUAUCAGGUUGAUCCAAAACGUGUCGCCCACAGGAAUUUUUAAUGAUCAAUCACCACUGUUUCCUGUGGUGUGGUCCACCUCGGAUUUGGGUCUGCUUCAGUUUUGGGAUCAUGCCUUAAACUGAGCUGUCAAAGCAUAUUUGCUGCGUGGAUGUAAGGUACACAUAUCUUGGUACGCCCCACAGUCCGAAGCUGCGCGCUCCUGUCACGGAUCAUCCGCAUGUUUGAUAGUUGUUAGGUCGGGUCGAGUAGAUACUUGACUGGGCUGUAUCUGUGUGGGCUGAUCAAAUCCCGUCAUGUUAAGUCGGUAAACCCACCAUGUUAAGAUGGUGAAAAAUCUUCUAGAAGUAUUGUGAGGCCCAUCACACGGGAAUUCAAGCCACCCCACCUGAAGCUUUGUGAAGCCCACUGUAAAUGUAACUCAAGCCCUCUACUGUGUGCAUUCCGGCCCAAACGAGCUGAUCGAUUGAUUGAUAAGGUCUUCAGCCAAGGAUUUAUCUGGAUGGGGCUUCUGCAUAUCUUAUGUCAAGCUGCUGAUAGCCCUUGAUGGCAUAUUUUAUGUGAGAAAAUAUAAGAUUUUGGGGUAUGAUUUACCGCUCAAAACUCUACCUAUUGAAUGGUAGAUCUUAAUGUCAAAAGGAGUUUUUAUGUAAUUUGAUGAUUUUAAGAGUGGUAACAUCUAAUGUCAAGCCCUUUUAUGUAAUUUUGGAGCAAUUAAUCACUCAUUCUUCCAAGCUC